rnacentral:rRNA from 1 species
UGGGGAAUCUUGCGCAAUGGUCUAACGACUGACGCAGCGACGCCGCGUGUGGGAGGACGCCUUUCGGGGUGUAAACCACUGUUGCCCGGGACGAACAGCCUCUUUCGAGGGGCCUGACGGUACCGGGUGAGGAAGCACCGGCUAACUCCGUGCCAGCAGCCGCGGUAAUACGGAGGGUGCGAGCGUUGUCCGGAAUCAUUGGGCGUAAAGGGCGCGUAGGUGGCUUCUUAAGCGUGCGGUGAAAGCCUGGGGCUCAACCCCGGGUCGGCCGUGCGAACUGGGGGCUUGAGCACUGUAGAGGCAGGCGGAAUUCCGGGUGUAGCGGUGGAAUGCGUAGAGAUCCGGAAGAACACCGGUGGCGAAGGCGGCCUGCUGGGCUAUGGCUGACACUGAGGCGCGACAGCGUGGGGAGCAAACAGGAUUAGAUACC